AUACUCUGGUUUCUCUUCAGAUCGUAUAAAUCUUUCGCCUUUUACUAAAGAUUUCCGUGGAGAGGAACAGGCACGAGUGUCGAGGAAUUUUUUGAGGCUCCAUUUCGGUGGAGCU
ensembl:snRNA U5 U5 spliceosomal RNA